AGGGGGGUCCACAUACUCUAUUGCAACCACUCUUUCCUACCAGUCCUUCUUUUCAAGAUAGCAUAUUAGUUCAAGCCUCUCAUAACCUUCCUGUACCAAGCUGGGCUCACAAGCAUGGCAAGGUACCCUUAAGUAUUCCAUAUCAAUGACAGAAUCACUGGCUGCCCGGAGCAGAGAGGGCCACCGUGGAGCUGUCACUUCUUCAAUCAGUUGUGUUUCAACUUUGAUUCAUGAUCCACUUGAAUCUGGAUGUGCUAUCUUGGAUGACACAGAAUGAAAUGCAAGAUAAUAAGAAGGAUACGAAAUGGAUUGUAAAGCUUCUGCUCAGAAGAUUUUAUGUCACCUCUUCUAUUUCACUCAUCAAACCAAGCCAUGUGUCUGAGCUUUGUGGCAACAGGACAGAGACCCAGUACUAGUAACAUGAUAUGGAAUAGAGAUGUAUAAUCCUA
rnacentral:lncRNA from 1 species